rnacentral:rRNA from 1 species
GGGAGGCAGCAGUGGGGAAUAUUGGACAAUGGGGGCAACCCUGAUCCAGCCAUGCCGCGUGAGUGAAGAAGGCCUUAGGGUUGUAAAACUCUUUCAGAUGGGAAGAUAAUGACGGUACCAUCAGAAGAAGCUCCGGCUAACUCCGUGCCAGCAGCCGCGGUAAUACGGAGGGAGCUAGCGUUGUUCGGAAUUACUGGGCGUAAAGCGCGCGUAGGCGGCUUGCCAAGUUGGGGGUGAAAGCCCGGGGCUCAACCCCGGAACUGCCCUCAAAACUGGCAAGCUAGAAUCCUGGAGAGGUGAGUGGAAUUCCUAGUGUAGAGGUGAAAUUCGUAGAUAUUAGGAAGAACACCAGUGGCGAAGGCGGCUCACUGGACAGGUAUUGACGCUGAGGUGCGAAAGCGUGGGGAGCGAACAGGAUUAGAUACCCUGGUAGUCCACGCCGUAAACGAUGGGUGCUAGGUGUUGGGCAGCAUGCUGUUCAGUGCCGAAGCUAACGCGUUAAGCACCCCGCCUGGGGAGUAGCGGUCGCAAGAUUAAAACUCAAA